rnacentral:rRNA from 1 species
AACUACAUAUCAAUAAGCGGAGGAAAAGAAACCAACAGGGAUUGCCUUAGUAACGGCGAGUGAAGCGGCAACAGCUCAAAUUUGAAAUCUGGCCCUCGGGUCCGAGUUGUAAUUUGUAGAGGAUGCUUUUGGCGAGGUGCCUUCUGAGUUCCCUGGAACGGGACGCCUUAGAGGGUGAGAGCCCCGUACGGUUGGACACCGAGCCUCUGUAAAGCUCCUUCGACGAGUCGAGUAGUUUGGGAAUGCUGCUCUAAACGGGAGGUAAAUUUCUUCUAAAGCUAAAUAUUGGCCAGAGACCGAUAGCGCACAAGUAGAGUGAUCGAAAGAUGAAAAGUACUUUGAAAAGAGGGUUAAACAGCACGUGAAAUUGUUGAAAGGGAAGCGUUUGCGACCAGACCUCUUCCUGGCGGAUCAUCCGGUGUUCUCACCGGUGCACUUCGCCAGGUCGAGGCCAGCAUCGGUUUUCGUAGGGGGAUAAAAGCUCUGGGAACGUAGCUCCUCCGGGAGUGUUAUAGCCCUCUGCAUAAUACCCUUACGGGGACCGAGGACCGCGCUUCGGCAAGGAUGCUGGCAUAAUGGUCGUCAACGACCCGUCUUGAAACACGGACCAAGGAGUCGAACAUUUGUGCGAGUGUUUGGGUGUUAAACCCUCACGCGUAAUGAAGGUGAACGUAGGUGAGAGCCCUUGCGGGUGCAUCAUCGACCGAUCCUGAUGUCUUCGGAUGGAUUUGAGUAAGAGCAUAACUGUUCGGACCCGAAAGAUGGUGAACUAUGCGUGGAUAGGGUGAAGCCAGAGGAAACUCUGGUGGAGGCUCGCAGCGGUUCUGACGUGCAAAUCGAUCGUCAAAUCUGCGCAUGGGGGCGAAAGACUAUCGAGCAUGCUAGCGCCC